rnacentral:rRNA from 1 species
UUACCUACGGGGCGCAGCAGUGAGGAAUAUUGGUCAAUGGGCGGGAGCCUGAACCAGCCAAGUCGCGUGAAGGAAGAAGGUACUUAGUAUUGUAAACUUCUUUUGUCAGGGACGAAGCAAGUGACGGUACCUGACGAAUAAGCCACGGCUAACUACGUGCCAGCAGCCGCGGUAAUACGUAGGUGGCAAGCGUUAUCCGGAUUUACUGGGUGUAAAGGGCGUGUAGGCGGGGAAGCAAGUCAGAUGUGAAAACCACGGGCUCAACCUGUGGCCUGCAUUUGAAACUGUUUUUCUUG